UACGUAGGGCGCAAGCGUUGUCCGGAAUUAUUGGGCGUAAAGAGCUCGUAGGCGGUCUGUCGCGUCUGCCGUGAAAACCCGAGGCUUAACCUCGUGGCUUGCGGUGGAUACGGGCAGACUAGAGGUAGGUAGGGGAGAAUGGAAUUCCCGGUGUAGCGGUGAAAUGCGCAGAUAUCGGGAGGAACACCGGUGGCGAAGGCGGUUCUCUGGGCCUUACCUGACGCUGAGGCGCGAAAGCGUGGGGAGCGAACGGG
rnacentral:rRNA from 1 species